rnacentral:rRNA from 1 species
CACGUAGUUAGCCGUGGCUUGCUCCUUAGCUACCGUCAUUUUUCUUCACUAAGAACAGAAGUUUACAAUCCGAAAACCGUCUUCCUUCACGCGGCGUUGCUGCAUCAGGGUUUCCCCCAUUGUGCAGUAUUCCCCACUGCUGCCUCCCGUAGGAGUCUGGGCCGUGUCUCAGUCCCAAUGUGGCCGUUCAACCUCUCAGUCCGGCUAUGGAUCGUUGACUUGGUAGGCCGUUACCCCACCAACUAUCUAAUCCAACGCGAGCCCAUCCUUCGGCACCUCAGUUUUGGUAUUUCUAUCAUGCGGUAAAAAUACGUUAUGCGGUAUUACUGUCCGUUUCCAGACACUAUCCCCCUCCGAAGGGCAGGUUGCUCACGCGUUACUCACCCGUCCGCCACUCAGUCAUAUCAUUCUUCAUUCCGAAGAAAUCUGAAUUCAAGCUUCGUUCGACUUGCAUGUGUUAGGCACGCCGCCAGCGUUCGUCCUGAGCCAGGAUCAAACUCU